UCAAGAAACUUCCACAAUGGGCGAAAGCCUGAUGGAGCGACGUCGCGUGAUGGACGAAGUGCUUCGGCACGUAAACAUCUUUUAUGUGGGAUGAAAUUAUUGACAGUACCACAUGAAUAAGGGGCUCCUAACUCUGUGCCAGCAGGAGCGGUAAUACAGAGGCCCCAAGCGUUAUCCGGAAUCACUGGGCGUAAAGGGUAUCGAGGCGGUUGUAUUAGUCGUUCGUAAAAUCUACGAGCUUAACUUGUAGGCGGCGAACGAAACGGUACGACUUGAGGUUUGGAGAGGUGCGUGGAACUCACGGUGUAGGGGUGAAAUCCGUUGAUAUCGUGGGGAACACCAAAGGCGAAGGCAGCGCACUGGCCAAAAUCUGACGCUCACACACGAAAGCUAGGGUAGCGAAGAGGAUUAGAUACCCAGGUAGUCCCUGAGCGGGCUGGCAAGGCGCAU
rnacentral:rRNA from 1 species